CUUAACUCCCGGAAGGCAGAGAGCUUGGCUUGUUUAUCCAGCAUCCCUACAGUGGCCCAGCCCUUCUAGCAGGAGGGGUUGGGGGGGUGGUAUAGUGAUAGUCCUUGGUUCAGGGGGUAGAUGCAUGAUCCAGACACCCACAGCCAGCUAAAAGUUAUCAAGCUGAUGCAAUCAGAAUUUUGCUGGGGCUGGGCUUGGUGACUCACGCCUGUAAUCCCGGCACUUUGGGAGGCAGAGGUGGCGGAUCACCUGAGGUCAGGAGUUCGAGACCAGCCUGGCCAACAGGGCGAAACUCCGACACUACUGACGCUGGCCCCUGUGGUCCUUGGGUUACUUGAAUGGGUGAAGCAAAGGUUCUGGAUGUCAACCUCUACGUCAGACCAACAUCACGUCAAAGCCAGACUUGCCGGGGGAUGCCAGGUUCUCGAUUCUGCCGUACAUUGCUGUGGGAUCUUGAGCAAGCGUGGCAGCAACUCUGGGUCUCAGUUCCCGAACCACCGAAUGCAGUGACCUCUAAGGGUCUUUGUUGCUCAGGCUGAAGUGCAGUGGUGGGAUCACGGCUCACUGCCUCAUCCUUACAAGUAGCUGGGACCAUAGGUGCAUGCCGCCACACUGGACUUUUUUUUUAUAAAGACACUGUUGCCCAAGCUGGUCUCAAGUCCUGUGUUCAAGCCAUCCCCCGGUCUUGGCCUCCCCAAAGUCUUGGGAUUAUGGGUGUGAACACUGCCCCUGGCCUGUAGCUGGUUUCUAAGCAGUGCUUUGUUGUUUUCCAAAAUUCCAUUUUGUACAGAAUCAAAAAUACUCCAAGAGCCCCUUCUGGCUUCUUCCUUUCCCAAUGACCUCAGCUUAUACUCUUAAUUACCCUCCUUCCCUCCCUAAUGACCCUCCCCAAAUUAUGCUCUUUCCCAAAUUAAUUAAAAAUUAAUUUUAACUUUUGAAUACAAAAAACAAUACGUGGCUCACAGCUCAAAACCUCCGAUAAGGUUUGUUUAUUUAUUUGUUUAUUUAGAGACAUAGUUUCAUUCUGUUGCCCGGGCUGCAGUACAGUAGCAGGAUCUCAGCUCACUGCAACCUCUGCCUACCAGGCUCCUGCCUCAGCCUCCUAAGUAGCUGGAAUUACAGGCACACACCAUUACGCCCAGCUGAUUUUUGUAUUAUUAGUAGAGGCAGGGUUUCGCAUCAUUGGCCAGGCUGGUCUCAAACUCCUGACCUCAGGUGAUCCGCCCUCCUCACCCUCCCAAAGUGCUGGGAUUACAGGUGUGAGGCACUGUGCCCAGCCUCAAGGAAGUAUACUUUAGAAAUGUCCUUUCUAUCCCUGUCCCUCUUUCCCAUUCCCCAAUGUUUCUUUUUGCAAAAGUAAACAUAUAUAUGUAUAUAUUUAUGACACACACACACACACACAAACAUUUAAUUUUGCAGAGUUGUAUGUUUUGACCAGCAGAGAGUGUUUUGUAACUACAAAGGAGAGACCCCCUUACUGCUGUUUCCAGCCAGAACCCUGGCCAGUGCCCUUUGCUCUGCAACCCCGGGGGUGAGGGUAAGGGUGAGAGUGAGCCUGGUGCGCAGGCCCCCAGCUGACCUGUGAUUUGCAGUCAGGGGUGGACUCAGGCUGGGCUGCCGCAUUCACCAUUCCUCGGUCCAAGAAUUCUCUUGAGUGCAAGACCGCUUAUCACAAAGGUGGAGUGGGCAGGUGUCCAUCGGUAUGAUCUCAAAAGGAACAGGAAGCACCCUGUGUUUCUCAAACAUACCCACCUGCUGCAAGACGUUUUUCUCUUGGAAAUUCAUUCCGGUGAGCUCUCUGCAGGCUCCUUUUUUUUUUUUUUUUUUUUUUUUUUGAGGCGGAGUUUUGCUCUUGUUGCCCAGGCUAGAGCACAAUGGCGUGAUCUCGGUUCACCGCAACCUCUGCCUCCCAGGUUCAAGCAAUUCUCCUGCCUCAGCCUCCCGAGUAGCUGGGAUUACAGGCAUGCACCACUGUGCCCAGCUAAUUUUGUAUUUUUAAUAGGGACGGGGUUUCUCCGUGUUGGUCAGGCUGGUCUCAAACUCCUGACUUCAGGUGAUCCACCUGCCUCAGCCUCCGAAAGUACUGGGAUUACAGGUGUGAGCCACCGUGCCUGGCCUCUGCAGGUUCAUUUUAAUGUGCGAAUGUCCUAAGCCUCUGAGACUAUGAAUGAGUGCUUAUCACAUACCUGGCACCAGCCUAAACCCUGUGAGGAAUUCAAAGUUAACAUACCCAGCCAGGCAACUCCCUAUCCUUAGAGAACUUUCACACCACCAGGAGUCCAUGUUGGCAGCCCCCAGUCGGCACUCAGUGUCCAGCUGGCAGCAUCCCCUAGAGACCUUCGGACGGGGGCCGUAUGCUGGGAGUGCUGGAAUUGUCUGCACUUCUUGGACUUCGUAGCUCAGGGAUCUGAUGUCCACUGCAGAUGGUCUGAGGUCUGUUGGUGUCCUUAUCAAUGCCACUGAGCCCAUUCCUAUGCCCUGCGCUUGAGUUUUCAUCAACUGUAUUUACCCCCAGUUCACUAGGAACAUGGUUUUUUUUUUUUUUUUUUUUUUUUUGAGAUGGAGUCUCGCUUUGUCACCCAGGCUGGAUGGAGUGCAGUGGCGUGAUCUUGGCUCACUGCAAGCUCCGC
rnacentral:lncRNA from 10 species